GCACUUGAAAAGGGAGUCGGGUGGAAGAUCCCCCGCCCACCAGUAUCCUGGAUUUACCCAGGUCGAGUUCAGAGAGCCUCCCCGGUCCCAACCCCCUCGGGCCCCAUGGGUCAGGGGGCCGCCUGCUGGGAAGUGCUACCUCAGCUAAGCCGCUCAGGUGUCCCGAGACUCCGGGCAAGGGAAGACAGGCGGCGAGACGGAGCCAGAAUAAGGGAUGCGGACGUCUGACCUGUGGAAAACCCAGCAUCUGCAGUGCCCAGCCGCACAGGGAACGUGGGCGGCGUGGUUCCAAGCACAGUGAAGACGCCAGGCUCGGAUCUGUGCUCAGAGCCGGGAUCCCUCCGGGCUGCUUCGUCCUGGCCAGGACUUUCCUUGCCCUGAAGUGAGGCGCCAGGGAAGCUGCAGGGCCCUCCGCCCUCUCUGAACUCCCACGUACUUGGGCCUCUCCCAGCCUUUCUUGGACCUGUGGAAGCAAUUCCUGCAGGACCAGACUCCCCUGUCUCCCCGCGGCCCCCUAGCCCUGUCCCCUAGGGAGAGGCCUGGACUAACUUUGCCGUCCUCGUGGCCUUAGCCCGGACUGUGAGUCUCGAGCGGCUUCCGAGAGGCAGCUCGGGUGUCUUCGCAGAGACAGAUGAGGUGGGCUGGCGAUUCCCUAGCCUCAGAUGGCUCUGCCACCAGCCAGCUCUGUGAUCCUGGCCGAUGGGGUGCCAGGCAUUAGAAACCUUCCCUCCAAUCCUCACCAUGUCUCCAUUUUGCCAAAGAAGAAACUGAGGUUAAGGUCGCGAUGCUCUGGCCAGCAUCACAGGUAAACGAUUUUGGCAGUGCCCGGAGAAAGAUAGAAGUAAGACCUAAAGAGGAACUUUCCGCAUGUUAUGGGAGAGCCCCUGGGGCGAGGAGGCGAGGGCAGCCUUCCCCAGGCCAAGGGAGCAGCCAUCGCUCUUGGAUCUGUUUUUCCUCAAGCGUCUGUCCUGUGGGGCCUAGUCCCCAAGCGGCAGUCCUGGACCUAACGGGAGAAGGGGCUGGGGGAAGAGGGCGCACCCCCAGCCCGGGACCCACAGCAGCCCUAGCCAGUCCCCCACUCUCUCCCUCUGUAGGGGCCUCUCUCUGAGAUCGGGUCCUCCUCCUGCAGGGCAGCAGAGUGGAAGCCAGGGCCUGGGACCCUCUGGCUGGGCAAGGAGGGACUGGAGUCCGGCUCCCGGUGACCCCGUCCCCAGUGCCAGCGGUGGGGUCGCCUGUGGCGGCCCGGACAGGCCACGGGUCCCUCUCCCCAAGUCCCAUUACGUUGUAUUUAUGUUUCAUUUUAUAGUUUUUUUUUCCUCCUCCCUUAUUAUUGUCUCACUCUGGGGGAGGCAAAGGAUAUAAUAUAUUCAUCUUUAUUAUACCAAAUCUGUGUGAAGCAUUUAAUAAAACGCUGUUUCCACACAGCCAGGGAU
rnacentral:lncRNA from 1 species